GGGGAAUAUUGCACAAUGGAGGAAACUCUGAUGCAGCGACGCCGCGUGAGUGAAGAAGGUCUUCGGAUCGUAAAACUCUGUCCUUGGUGAAGAUAAUGACGGUAGCCAAGGAGGAAGCCCCGGCUAACUACGUGCCAGCAGCCGCGGUAAUACGUAGGGGGCUAGCGUUGUCCGGAUUUACUGGGCGUAAAGGGUGAGUAGGCGGUUAUGUAUGUCAGAUGUAAAAGGCGUGGGCUUAACUUACGUUAGCAUUUGAAACUGCAUAACUUGAGUGCGGGAGAGGUAAGUGGAAUUCCUAGUGUAGCGGUGAAAUGCGUAGAUAUUAGGAGGAACACCAGUGGCGAAGGCGACUUACUGGACCGUAACUGACGCUGAGUCACGAAAGCGUGGGUAGCAAAC
rnacentral:rRNA from 1 species